rnacentral:rRNA from 1 species
AUGUUUCCUGCUCUAAAUUUGCUUCUCUUGCCUCAUAUGCUCCUACUGGCAAUGACUUCAUAUUCUCACGCACUGCCCUUCAGCAAUGAGACUGAUCUCGAUGCCUUGCUAGCAUUCAAGGCAGGUCUAAACCGGCAGUCAGAUGCACUGGCCUCAUGGAACAAAAGCACUGACUUGUGCCAGUGGCGUGGUAUCAUGUGCAGUCACAGGCAUAAGCGAAGGGUAUUAGAACUGAAUCUCUCCUCGACUGGGCUUUUUGGGUACAUAGCUCCUUCCCUCGGGAACCUCACAUACCUGAGAAGUUUAGACCUCAGCUACAAUCUGCUACACGGCGAAAUCCCACGGGCGAUUGGCCAGUUGACGCAAAUGUCAUAUCUUGACUUGUCAAAUAAUUCACUCCAAGGUGAAAUGCCUUGGACAAUUGGGCAGUUACCACGGUUAACUUACCUAUAUCUAUCAAACAAUUCACUUCAAGGGGAGAUUACACAUGGCCUGCGGAACUGUACUCACCUUGUAAGUGUCAAACUUGACCUGAACAAACUUGAUCGAGAAAUCCCUGAUUGGCUUGGUGACUUGUCAAGUAUAGAUACCAUUUCAAUAGGGAAGAACAGCUUCACUGGGACCAUCCCACCAUCACUUGGGAACCUCUCAUCGCUGCGGAGAUUAUACCUCAAUGAAAACCAGCUGAGUGGUCCAAUCCCUGAGAGCCUUGGCAGGCUUGGUAAGCUUGAGGCUCUAGCACUGCAAGUAAACCACCUAUCAGGAAACCUUCCAACAAUGCUCUUCAACAUUUCAUCCCUCAUCCUCGUUGGUCUCCAAAUGAACCAACUGCAUGGCACACUGCCCUCCAAUUUGGGCAAUGGCCUGCCACACAUCCGAUACCUUAUCCUUGCUCUGAACCAUUUCACGGGAAGAAUUCCAGCUUCAAUUGGAAAUGCAACUACAAUCCAAUCUAUGGACCUCUCUGGUAACAACAACACUGGAGUCGUGCCUCCAGAGAUUGGAACACUCUGCCCAAAAUACCUGAUGCUUAAUGGAAACCAGCUGGAGGCAACCACUGUUCAAGACUGGGGGUUCAUCACUUCCCUGACAAAUUGCACAAGCCUUCGUUGGGUCACAUUGCAAAACAACAAGUUUAGUGGUGGGUUUCCGCGCUCUAUUGCAAACCUGUCAGGGCAACUUGAAGCCCUAGACAUCAGAUACAAUGGGAUAUCAGGCAAGAUACAAAUUGGCAUUGGCAACUUUCCCAAACUAUUCAAGCUAGGGCUAUCUGGCAAUCAGUUAACCGGCCCCAUACCAGACAGCAUAGGAAGACUGAACAUGCUCCAGUUCUUGACACUAGAGAAUAAUCAACUCUCCGGGAUGAUGCCGCCCUCGCUCGGGAACUUAACACAAUUGCAGCACCUUUCAGUAGAUAACAAUAUGUUGGAGGGACCUCUUCCAAUGAACAUUGGAAAUUUACAACGACUUGUCAGCGCAACCUUUUCGAACAAUGCGCUUUCAGGUCCAUUACCGGGAGAGAUCUUUAGCCUGUCAUCCUUGUCAUACGUUCUGGACUUGUCUAGGAAUCAUUUUAGUAGUUCCCUUCCAUCCCAGGUUGGUGGUCUUACAGAGCUCACAUACUUGUACAUCCAUGAGAACAACUUGUCUGGGCUGCUGCCAGAUGCUCUCAGCAAAUGCCAGAGCUUGAUGGAGCUCCGUUUGGAUAAUAACUACUUCAACGGUAUGAUUCCUUUGUCUGUAAGCAGAAUGCGAGGCUUGGCACUGCUGAAUUUGACCAAAAACAGGCUCACAGGAGGAAUCCCUCAAGAGUUAGGACUCAUGAGUGGCCUGAAAGAACUGUAUCUUGGACGGAACAAUUUGUCUGCACAGAUCCCAGAGACCUUGGAAAGCAUGAUAUCACUCUACCGACUCGACAUAUCCUUCAACCUUCUUGAUGGGCAAGUCCCAGCACAUGGUGUGUUCACCAAUUUGACUGGGUUCACUUUUUAUGGGAAUGGUAAGCUUUGUGGUGGCAUUCAAGAGUUGCAUUUGCCUUCAUGUCCAUCCAAAGCAAUUGGGGGCGGUCAAAGGAUACCCCGAGUCAUUCGAAAUGCAAUGAUCCCGAGCAUUAUAAUCAUCUUUGUGUGCUUUAUAGUGGGACUAGGUUUCUUCUCACUGAAAAAUAAAUUAAGACUGCCAUCUGUAAGAGCAACUUUGGUAGCUCCUUCCUUGAUGGGCGACAUGCAUCCUCGAGUUUCUUAUUCCAACUUGUUCCAAGCAACAAAUGGCUUCACAACUGACAAUUUGGUUGGUACUGGACGAUAUGGAUGUGUUUAUAAGGGGAGGAUGAUGCUCAAGAGGUCAGUAAGUACUGUGGCUGUGAAGGUUUUUGACCUUGAACAAUCUGGUUCCACAAAAAGUUUUGAGGCAGAGUGUAAGGCACUUGGCAAAAUUCGCCACCGUAACUUAAUUAGUGUUAUAACUUGCUGCUCUUGCUUUGACUUUAACCAGAAUGACUUCAAAGCCAUUGUUCUCGAUUUCAUGCCUUAUGGGGGUCUUGAUAAGUGGUUACAUCCAGACAUAUAUCCAUCCAAUCCAGUCAAAAUUCUAACAUUAAUGCAGAGACUGAGUAUUGCUUUUGAUGUUGCCGCCGCUCUAGACUAUCUGCACAACAACUGCCAGCCAACAAUAGUUCACUGCGACUUGAAGCCCAGCAAUAUUCUUCUUGGAGAGGAUAUGGUUGCUCAUGUUGGGGACUUUGGCCUUGCAAAGAUACUCAUAGAUCCAGAAGGGGAGCAAUUGAUCCAUUCAAAGAGUUCCGUAGUGGGAACAAUUGGAUAUGUGGCUGCAGAAUACGGUGAAGGUGGUCAAAUAUCUACAAGUGGGGAUGUGUAUAGCUUCGGUAUUGUCCUCCUUGAGAUGUUUACAGGGAAGACGCCUACACAUGGUAUGUUUACAGAUGGAUUGACCUUGCUCGAGUACGCAAAGAUGGCAUAUCCAGCACAACUGAUGGAGAUUAUUGAUCCCCUUCUGCUAUCAGUUGAGAAGACACAGCGAGAUAUUAAUAGUUACAUGUACUCUAUCACAAGACUUGCCCUAGCAUGCUGCAGAAAAAGACCAACUGACAGGCUGUCCAUAAGAGAUGUCGUUUCUGAGAUGAACAAGAUAAGGGCUUGCUAUGCUGUAGAAGUAACUAGGAAAUGUAGUUCAGAGUGA